rnacentral:ncRNA from 1 species
UGUUUUGGUCACCCGUGUGGGUGUGAAAAGGGAAGCCGGUGAGAGUCCGGCGCAGUCCCGCUGCUGUGAGCUCGAGAGUUUGAGACCCAAUCUGUUACGUCACUGUGCGUCGCUAUAGGCGCAUGGGAAGACGGGGUCCCGAUGAGCAAGCCAGAAGACCUGCCAGAACAUGA